GGUAGAAUGGCCGAGAUUUAAGCGAUAAACUGUAAAUUUAUUUACGAGAAAUUUUCUCUUCUACCA
rnacentral:tRNA from 1 species